rnacentral:pre_miRNA from 1 species
AGCUAUUGCACCCCAUGCCCUGGCAGUAAGGGUUUUAUUGCCAUAGUAUAUAUGACUUGUCUGCCAGAGCAAGGGGUGUUUUUCGA